rnacentral:rRNA from 1 species
CUAGCAGGUCUUGGUUCAAUUGAGGAAGUAAAAGUCGUAACAAGGUCUCCGUUGGUGAACCAGCGGAGGGAUCAUUACCGAGUUUACAACUCCCAAACCCCUGUGAACAUACCACUUGUUGCCUCGGCGGAUCAGCCCGCUCCCGGUAAAACGGGACGGCCCGCCAGAGGACCCCUAAACUCUGUUUCUAUAUGUAACUUCUGAGUAAAACCAUAAAUAAAUCAAAACUUUCAACAACGGAUCUCUUGGUUCUGGCAUCGAUGAAGAACGCAGCAAAAUGCGAUAAGUAAUGUGAAUUGCAGAAUUCAGUGAAUCAUCGAAUCUUUGAACGCACAUUGCGCCCGCCAGUAUUCUGGCGGGCAUGCCUGUUCGAGCGUCAUUUCAACCCUCAAGCACAGCUUGGUGUUGGGACCCGCGUUAAUUCGCGUUCCCCAAAUUGAUUGGCGGUCACGUCGAGCUUCCAUAGCGUAGUAGUAAAACCCUCGUUACUGGUAAUCGUCGCGGCCACGCCGUUAAACCCCAACUUCUGAAUGUGACCUCGAUCAGGUAGAUGCCCACUCC